GAAAUCUGUGUAAAUUUUAGAUACUAUAGGGGCGG
rnacentral:tRNA from 1 species